rnacentral:rRNA from 1 species
AUUUGAUCUCAAAUCAGGUAAGGCUACCCGCUGAAUUUAAGCAUAUUAAUAAGCGGAGGAAAAGAAAAUAACAAUGAUUCCCCUAGUAACGGCGAGUGAAGCGGGAAAAGCUCAAGGUUAAAAUCUCUACUCCCCCUUUUGUUUGGAGUAGCGACAUGUAAUCUAUGGAUUGUGGUUUGGUCUGUGGUUAUUAGUAUGAUCCAAGCUAGUUGAAUCUAGUACCAUUGAGGGUGAAAGUCCCGUUUAUGGUUAUACUAAUAGGCACUAUUGUACCCCACUUUUCGCGAGUCGGGUUGUUUGGGAAUGCAGCCCUAAAUGGGAGGUAAAUUUCUCCUAAAGCUAAAUAUUUGCAAGAGACCGAUAGCAUACAAGUACCGUAAGGGAAAGGUGAAAAGUACUCUGAAGAGAGAGUGAAAAGUACGUGAAACUGUUGGUAGGGAAACGUUUGCACAGCACACUUGACCAUUUAUAGUUUCGGCUAUAUUUGUCAGCCUUGCACCAAUUUUUCUUGCUGGAAAAAACCCAGAAGAAGGUAGGGAGUCAAUAGUAGCAUUUAUGUUGCUGAUUUCUGUUAUAGCUUCUGGGCAAUACAGUGGGUAAAGAUUGAGGAUUGCCAAGUAUGUUUUACAUUUUGUAGAGCAAUGUCCCUCCUUGCCCCCCAUGACUAGACCUUUGAUUAGACAUUUCUAUGACUAUCGAAGGGAUAACACUAGCCUGGACUCAGGGUGAGGGUAGUAGGAACAAGUACUUGAUGGAUGCAGGGAAGUGUUGAACAAUCGACCCGUCUUGAAACACGGACCAAGGAGUCUAACACUAGUGCGAGUUGUUGGGAUAUAAUAAACCCAUGGGCGUAAUGAAAGUGAGGAGUGUUUUAUACCACUUGCUGGUACCAAUUUGUAGGGAUUUCCCUAUAGAUGCAGUACCCUCCGAUCAGGAAGAGUUUACUUUGACUGAAUUGAGAGUGAGCACUUGUGUUAGGACCCGAAAGAUGGUGAACUAUACUUGAAUAGGGUGAAGCCAGGGGAAACCCUGGUGGAGGCUCGUAGCGAUUCUGACGUGCAAAUCGAUCGUAAAAUUUGAGUAUAGGGGCGAAAGACUAAUCGAACUAUCUAGUAGCUGGUUCCUGCCGAAGUUUCCCUCAGGA